rnacentral:rRNA from 1 species
UGGGGAAUUUUGGACAAUGGGCGAAAGCCUGAUCCAGCAAUGCCGCGUGUGUGAAGAAGGCCUUCGGGUUGUAAAGCACUUUUGUCCGGAAAGAAAUCCUUGGCUCUAAUACAGUCGGGGGAUGACGGUACCGGAAGAAUAAGCACCGGCUAACUACGUGCCAGCAGCCGCGGUAAUACGUAGGGUGCAAGCGUUAAUCGGAAUUACUGGGCUAAAGCGUGCGCAGGCGGUUUGCUAAGACCGAUGUGAAAUCCCCGGGCUCAACCUGGGAACUGAUUGGUGANUGGCAGGCUAGAGUAUGGCAGAGGGGGGUAGAAUUCCACGUNUAGCAGUGAAAUGCGUAGAGAUGUGGAGGAAUACCGAUGGCGAAGGCAGCCCCCUGGGCAAUACUGACGCUCAUGCACG